rnacentral:rRNA from 1 species
AUGGCUAUGGAAUUGCUGGAGGUCAGCGAAGCGGCGAUGGCCAAGUACUUCACCAUGAUGUUGGAUGGGACUGCCCGCACUUGGUUGAAAGGGCUGCCACCAAAUUCUAUCGGGUCUUGGGCUGAGCUGAAAGCCCGGUUUAUCCAAAACUUCAAAGAUACCUGUAGGCAGUCUAUGUCAAUUGUGGAUUUGACUAAUUGUAAACAGCAGGAGGGCGAGUCUACGACACAUUGGGUUCGCCGGGUCAAAGAGAUAAUACAUUCAUCUGAUAAGAUGGAUGCCGGCUCUGCAGUCUUAAUGUUGGAGCAGAAUUGUCGUUUCCUGCCCCUGAAGAUGAAACUC